ensembl:lncRNA
CACGCUCUCCCAGCUGGAGGCCAUCCUCCUGGACUACCAGGGGCGGCAGGAGAUCUUCCUGCAGCGCCAUGGACCCCUGUCUGUCCACAUGGCCUGCCUCUCCUUCUUCUUCCUGGCUGCCUGCAGUGCUGCCACCGCAGCCCUUCUGAGGCACAAAGUCAAGGCCAGACUGACCAAGAAAGAUUCCUGAGGCUGGCAAGUGGGGCAACGUGUGGAGGAAGCCCCUCAUAAUUUGGAGAAAACUUGAUACAAUAGAAGCUGACUUUUAAGGGAUUGGCUUUUAAAUUAAUACAUAUAUCCAAGGAUAUGUUAUAGCUGCAGUGUUUGAAAGCCAAAGGAUUUAAGAGUUUUGUUGUUAAUAAAAGGAAUACUCCUUUUCCUUUUGGAUCAUAGCUUAACAAGGCACAGGAAGGGAAGGGAUCUUGACUAAGAUUCAUGAGACAUUGAAUUAAGGAGAAUCAUCUUCAUGCCUGAAAAUUUAGCAAAAUUCUGACUACGGCCUCCAGGGGCAAUUCCUAAAAGCUGAAUGGAUAAUAAAAUUGGACUGGAAAGUAAGUAGGUGGCUGGUCCUCACCCUGUUGGAAUGGCUAUCCUACUAUGCUGUUCUUUGGUAAUGGAAUAAAUUGACCCAAGGACCCAAUUUCAUUUGGAUUUCAAAUUGUCCAGAGUGGAAAAGCCUUCAAGAUGACAUAAUGAAUUACUCAGUUCAUCUGAUUUCUGGUCCCUCCUUUCUCGACAACUAUAAUACUAACGCUUUUCUCAGGAUAACUGUCUACCUGGCAGUUUUCUCUGAAGUGCUGUUCACUCCCAUCCCUACCUUGCAUGGUAAUAUAAAGGACUAGGAAGCAGUCAUACUUCCAGGAAAUGCUUGGAUUCAUGUGGACAUUCAGGAAGCUUAUUCUCAUAUAAUACUAAUCUAAACAGUACUAGAAAUUACAGUGCCGAGAGCCAUCAGGAGGCCCAGCCAAUAAGCAUAGAUACUAAUAUGGUAUCAUGGGACCCGUCUAUUUUUUAUCGGUGGACUAUAGGAUUACUUGAGAGUUAUCAGGGCUGCCUAACAGACCAGGAGAUCUGGGGGUUGCAACAGGGAAUCUCCAUAUUUGACCAGCAUGUUUUAAAAGCUCUUGGUAGGAUUAGUUGGUUCUAAGGAUCCCUCUAGGGACCUCGUUAUUUCAAGAGGAACCCAAAGUCCAGCCUCCUACAUAGAUGCUGCCCCACAAAGGACCCACAUAACUAACCCAGUUCAGGGUUCUCAGGCAGGCAGUUCUGCCUCAGCUUAGAGCAGAACCCUUAAAAUACUCAAGUACUGGGAUAGGCAAGCAUGUGUGUUUACUGUGGAUUGGUCCCUGAAGGCUCCUUUGGGUGAGAACAUGUGAACCAGGCACCCUGGUUUGUUUGGAGCAUUGCUGCCCAGAAGCUUCUAUGGGAUAGGUGGUGCUUGGGAUUGAUGUUUUCUGGCCAUGCAGCCCUCCCUGAGGAUUGACUUCUGCACUAAUCCAGUGAAGGAGGCUGUGUCAAAAGAAGGGCUCAGAAGCCCUCUUUUCAGAGGCAAUGAUUCCUGUCAGUAUGAGGUCCCUUAGUUACUAAAAAGGGACGUGGUUUAACUCCAGUUUGAUGAACCUUUUCUGAGUUUACUUUAUUGUCUUCAAAUCUUUUGUUUUCUUCCUUUCUGUGAGAUUUGUGGGUUUUGUGCCUUAUAAAUGGAAACUUAUGAACACUUAAUAUAUGCCCAUGUAGAAUUUUCUAUUCUGGGUUAUUGGGAUAAGAAAAAAUAUAUAUUGCUCUUCAACUAGUGAAUGAAAGAAACUUCAGAAAGCUGGAAUUGCUUAUCAAUCAAAAGACUUUCUCAAUCUGUAUUUGGGCCACAAACAAACAUAUUCAACUGAAGCUUUCCAAUAAUCUUUAUAUCAAGAAAGCAUGCGUCUUGUCAGCUACAUUGUUUUCUUAGGUGGAUUUCUCCUGUUAAUCCUCAAAUAUCUGAACUUCUGUGUUACCCAAGUGUCUUAUACAAGCUUCUGGUGUCUAGGACAAAUUUAUGGCAAAUAAAAUUAGCAAAACUCAACUAGGUUGAACUGAACAGGAGGAUGGGGGAAUUGUGCAAAUACGUUGUUAGUAGAAGGUCAAUUUAAAAUAGGGACUAGAAAUUGUUUGAAGUUUUCUUUAUUACGGAUUCAAAGACUGUAUUAUUUUGAAAGUUGGAAGGAGAAGGGAGGGAAGAGAGCAGAAGGGAAGAAGGUGUAAGUCAAGCUCUUGAAUAUAAUUGGUGGUAUUGUGGGCAGAGAUCUUUAGUUCAAAUCCACGUAUUUUUUAAAAGAGAGAACCGGAGGUAGAGCCGUGAUCAGAUGGGUGCACAGACCAGUGCCAAUCUGAACAUUGUUAAUGGCCUGUAACAUGAUGAGCACAGGAACAGGCAUUAAGAUAUUGCCAUACAAUUUUAAUUUAUACAAGUAUUGGCCCCUGAAGUGGUUGGAAAUUUUUUUUUUAAAUCUCUUUUUCUGAGACAGGGUCUUACUCUGUCACCCAGGCUGGAGUGCAGUGAUGCGAUCACGGCUCACUGCAGCCUCGACCUCCCCAGCUCAAGCAAUCCUCCCGCCUCAGCCUCCUAAGUACCUGGUACUACAGGCGCAUGCCACCACACCUGGCUAAUUUUUGCCUUUUUUGUAGAGACAGGGUUUUGCCAUGUUGCUUAGGCUGGUCUUGAACUCCUGAACUCAAGUGAUCUGCCCACCUCAGCCUCCCAAAGUGUUGGGAUUACAGACAUUAGCCACCACGCCUGCCCUAGAAACAGUUUUUUAAUAGGAGAUAUUUGAGAGGCAUUGAGGUAGGAGACUCUAUGACAUGCCCUCAGAAUAUCAGAAUCUUCUUAGAAACUAGGAAAUGCAGAUGUUUUUAACUACUCAGACUUUUGAGGAAUUACUCCUUUUAAAACAUUUUUGUUAAAGUUAGCGUAUCAGUAAGAAACAGACCUAGUUUAAAAGGAAUAAUCAACAAUUUUAUAAAGGAGAUGGCUCGUUCCACCAUAGCCCCUCCAACGUACCUACUGGAAAUUCUGCUAGUUAACUUUAUCUCUCUGUCUCUUAAUUUAGACUUUCAACCUAUGAAAAUGUAAAUACCUUUGAAAAAACUAAACUAUCAGUCAUUUACAUCUUCUCAUGAAUGAAAUGCAGUGUAGGGAGAGGAGAUGGCAGGACACAGCAAACGGGACACAUUUGCCUGCUUCUCUCUUGCCUAAUUCUUUCUGAUCUGUAUUUACUGAUGAGUAAUAAUACUUGUAAGACUCUAGGGGUUCAUUUCCCAUUUCAGCGGAAAGUACUUCACUCAAUAACAAUAUUCUCAAGAGUCUUCUACUGGAAGCUAGAAAGAAAUAGGAGUUUAAGUCCAUAGAAUGAAGGUAGUUAUUCCACCUGUGUUGCCCACCUGUUCACAAAAAGUACCUUUAUGCUUGAAAAUAUUAGGUUCUUUGGUUACUGCACUGUAGUUUCAAAUGGAUCCUCCAGAUGGCAUUUAUGUCUUACUCAGAAAGGGCACAGCCAUUGUCCCCAAGGCUUCUGUCUACUAAUUCUAUUGGUCUUGUGUUUUGCUUGAUUGCUUGGCAAAAAAAAAAAUGGAGCUAUUUUCUAUCUAUAUAAAUCUACUUAUGUGAAUAACCAUUAAAGUGAUUUCGUA